rnacentral:rRNA from 1 species
UACGUGAGCCCCGAGCGUUAUCCGGAAUUAUUGGGCGUAAAGAGUGCGUAGGCGGCGUAGUUAGUCUCUUGUUUAAUCCUUCGGCUCAACCGAAGAACUGCAGGGGAAACGGCUAUGCUUGAGUAUGUAAGAGGUGAGCAGAACUUAUGGUGUAGGGGUGAAAUCCGUUGAUAUCAUAGGGAAUACCAAAUGCGAAGGCAGCUCACUGGUACAUUACUGACGCUGAGGCACGAAAGCGUAGGUAGCGAAUGGG